rnacentral:rRNA from 1 species
UGGGGAAUAUUGGGCAAUGGAGGAAACUCUGACCCAGCGACGCCGCGUGAGGGAUGAAGGUCUUCGGAUUGUAAACCUCUUUCAGUAGGGAAGAAGCGAAAGUGACGGUACCUAAAGAAGAAGCACCGGCUAACUAUGUG